rnacentral:rRNA from 1 species
UACGUAGGUGGCAAGCGUUGUCCGGAUUUACUGGGUGUAAAGGGAGCGUAGGCGGGAAAUCAAGUCAAGUGUCAAAUCUAUCGGCUCAACCGGUAGUCGCGCUUGAAACUGGUUUUCUUGAGUGAAGUAGAGGCAGGCGGAAUUCCUAGUGUAGCGGUGAAAUGCGUAGAUAUUAGGAGGAACACCAGUGGCGAAGGCGGCCUGCUGGGCUUUUACUGACGCUGAGGCUCGAAAGCGUGGGUAGCAAACAGG